rnacentral:rRNA from 1 species
GGCUCAGAUUGAACGCUGGCGGCAUGCUUUACACAUGCAAGUCGAACGGUAACAGGCCGCAAGGUGCUGACGAGUGGCGAACGGGUGAGUAAUGCAUCGGAACGUGCCCAGUCGUGGGGGAUAACGUAGCGAAAGUUACGCUAAUACCGCAUACGAUCUAAGGAUGAAAGCGGGGGACUCGCAAGAGCCUCGCGCGAUUGGAGCGGCCGAUAUCAGAUUAGGUAGUUGGUGGGGUAAAGGCUCACCAAGCCAACGAUCUGUAGCUGGUCUGAGAGGACGACCAGCCACACUGGAACUGAGACACGGUCCAGACUCCUACGGGAGGCAGCAGUGGGGAAUUUUGGACAAUGGACGCAAGUCUGAUCCAGCCAUUCCGCGUGCAGGAUGAAGGCCCUCGGGUUGUAAACUGCUUUUGUACGGAACGAAAAGGUUUCUCUUAAUACGAGGAGCUCAUGACGGUACCGUAAGAAUAAGCACCGGCUAACUACGUG